rnacentral:rRNA from 1 species
GACGAACGCUGGCGGCGUGCUUAACACAUGCAAGUCGAACGGAAAGGCCCUGCUUUUGUGGGGUGCUCGAGUGGCGAACGGGUGAGUAACACGUGAGUAACCUGCCCUUGACUUUGGGAUAACUUCAGGAAACUGGGGCUAAUACCGGAUAGGAGCUCCUGCUGCAUGGUGGGGGUUGGAAAGUUUCGGCGGUUGGGGAUGGACUCGCGGCUUAUCAGCUUGUUGGUGGGGUAGUGGCUUACCAAGGCUUUGACGGGUAGCCUGCCUGAGAGGGUGACCGGCCACAUUGGGACUGAGAUACGGCCCAGACUCCUACGGGAGGCAGCGGUGGGGAAUAUUGCACAAUGGGCGGAAGCCUGAUGCAGCAACGCCGCGUGCGGGAUGACGGCCUUCGGGUUGUAAACCGCUUUCGCCUGUGACGAAGCGUGAGUGACGGUAAUGGGUAAAGAAGCACCGGCUAACUACGUG